CUGGAGCAUCUCCUGGGAUACCUGAGCUCCUGACCCACUUCCCAUUCCCUUGCAGGGUCUGACUGGAAGCCCCGGGAGCCCCGGUCCCGACGGCAAGACUGGCCCCCCUGGUCCCGCUGGUCAAGACGGUCGCCCUGGCCCCCCCGGCCCCCCCGGUGCCAGAGGUCAAGCCGGUGUGAUGGGAUUCCCUGGUCCCAAAGGUGCUGCGGGUGAGCCCGGCAAACCUGGUGAGAGAGGCGCUCCCGGUCCCCCCGGUGCCGUGGUGAGUAUUUGCUGGAGCACAAACGGUCUGGUGGGGGCUCGGCAGGGAGGGUCACCCCUGUGUGAGGUGACAGGGGGCAUC
rnacentral:lncRNA from 1 species